CUUGGUCAUUUAGAGGAAGUAAAAGUCGUAACAAGGUUUCCGUAGGUGAACCUGCGGAAGGAUCAUUAUUGAAACUUCUUUGGAGAUUAGUACUGUUGCUGGCCUUGUAAUGAGGCAUGUGCACGUCUAUCUCUAAUCUAUUCAUCCACCUGUGCACUUUUUGUAGGAGUUCUUUAAAGGUUGGCUUGUGUAGGCUGAAAGGCUUGUGCAAUGUUGACUUGAAAAGGCUUCUAUGUCUUACAAACCUAUAGAAGUAUGUUCAGAAUGUCUUUUAUAGGGACUUAAAUGACCCUUUAAACUUAUACAACUUUUAGCAACGGAUCUCUUGGCUCUCCCAUCGAUGAAGAACGCAGCGAAAUGCGAUAAGUAAUGUGAAUUGCAGAAUUCAGUGAAUCAUCGAAUCUUUGAACGCACCUUGCGCCCUCUGGUAUUCCGGAGGGCAUGCCUGUUUGAGUGUCAUUAAAUUCUCAACUUCAAAAGUUUUUAUUACCUUUUUGAAGCUUGGAUGUGGGGGUUUGCUGGCGUCUUUAGAUGUUCGGCUCUCCUUAAAGUUAUUAGUGGGAAUGUCUUUUGUUAGGCGAUCCUUGGUGUGAUAAUUAUCUACACUUUGGAUAGUCUAAUGGUUCCCAUUGGGAUUAGUUGGUAUUGCGAUUAAGUUUGCUUUACUUGAGUCUCAGAGGAAAAGAUAAGUUCUGCUUUCUAACCGUCUGUGUUACAUGGACAAUUUAUUGACUAUUUGACCUCAAAUCAGGUAGGACUACCCGCUGAACUUAAGCAUAUCAAUAAGCGGAGGA
rnacentral:rRNA from 1 species